AUUGAACGCUGGCGGCAUGCCUUACACAUGCAAGUCGAACGGUAACAGGUCUUCGGAUGCUGACGAGUGGCGAACGGGUGAGUAAUACAUCGGAACGUGCCCGAUCGUGGGGGAUAACGCAGCAAAAGCUGUGCUAAUACCGCAUACGAUCUACGGAUGAAAGCGGGGGAUCGCAAGACCUCGCGCGGACGGAGCGGCCGAUGGCAGAUUAGGUAGUUGGUGGGAUAAAAGCUUACCAAGCCGACGAUCUGUAGCUGGUCUGAGAGGACGACCAGCCACACUGGGACUGAGACACGGCCCAGACUCCUACGGGAGGCAGCAGUGGGGAAUUUUGGACAAUGGGCGCAAGCCUGAUCCAGCCAUGCCGCGUGCAGGAUGAAGGCCUUCGGGUUGUAAACUGCUUUUGUACGGAACGAAAAAGCUCUCUCUAAUACAGGGGGUGAAUGACGGUACCGUAAGAAUAAGCACCGGCUAACUACGUG
rnacentral:rRNA from 1 species